GAAAAAAAAAAGAGAGAGAAAAAAAAAGACGGAAAAGUUGGAAAUUUCUGAAUUUUGUCGGAUUCGUCGUCAAUCUUUCGAAGGCGAUUUCUCGGUGGUGUGACCUCACGUCACGACUAGCGCCCGGCUUCAUCGUCGGUAAAGGCAAGUGAAUGUAUUGUAUGACUAUGCUUUAACCUAAUAUUGGGUUGCCUACAUUCUUUAAUUGCAGUGCAUUCAUCUAAUCUGAAUGACUGAUUCUGAGCUGAGUACUAUGUUGUUUACUUUUCCAGAAGUUUACUCGAUGAUUGAUUUAUGAAGUGCAGUAAGUACGAUAUGCCAUUCUGCAGUUGUUCAUUAUUAUUUUAUGCAAUGUUUUUUUUGAAGUCUCAAGCAUAUUCCGGAAGUUAUGUUGGUUAUGCUUGAAGCACGUCAUACAUAUACAUCUCAUGCAUUGGAAGUUUGUCGUCGUCUUCUGGCCGCGACCGUACCGGUACAGUACCGUAUGUCACCCGAGGAGGGGUACGGUGCACACCCUUACGUUACCCGAGGAGGGGUAAGGGUGAGGAGAGCAUGUCAUGUGCAUGGUUCCUUUUGAGGUGUCAAACGCUUGCGGGAUGGGUAGCUACACGUCGCCUGCACGUUCCCUUUUUUUUGGGGCUAAAAUUGAUGCCCUGUCAGAUAUUGUCUUUUGCCCUGUAAUGUAUAUAUAGUGAGUUUGAUGGUGGUUCAGUGGUUUGGUCGAGGCUUGUACCUCGUUUGCUAGGAUCUUAUUUUUGCUAGUGUGAUAUUCUAUA